rnacentral:misc_RNA from 1 species
GAUGAAGAACGUAGCGAAAUGCGAUACGUAGUGUGAAUUGCAGAAUUCAGUGAAUCAUCGAAUCUUUGAACGCACAUUGCACCUCUCGGUAUUCCGGGAGGUAUGCCUGUUCGAGCGUCAUUUGUACCCUCAAGCUCUGCUUGGUGUUGGGUGUUUGUUCCGCCUCUGUGUGUGAACUCGCCUCAAAACAAUUGGCAGCCGGCGUACUUGUUUCGGAGCGCAGCACAUUUUGCGAUCCAGAUCAACGUACAGCGGCAUCCAAGAAGCCUCAUUUAACGCUCUUGACCUCGGAUCAGGUAGGGAUACCCGCUGAACUUAAGCAUAUCAAUAAGCGGAGGA